rnacentral:rRNA from 1 species
UACGUAGGGUGCGAGCGUUAAUCGGAAUUACUGGGCGUAAAGCGUGCGCAGGCGGCGCGUUAAGACAGGUGUGAAAGCCCCGAGCUUAACUUGGGAAUUGCGCUUGUGACUGGCGUGUUGGAGUGUGGCAGAGGGAGGUGGAAUUCCACGUGUAGCAGUGAAAUGCGUAGAGAUGUGGAGGAACACCGAUGGCGAAGGCAGCCUCCUGGGCCAGCACUGACGCUCAUGCACGAAAGCGUGGGGAGCAAACAGG